rnacentral:rRNA from 1 species
AUCCUACGGGAGGCAGCAGUGGGGAAUAUUGGUCAAUGGGGGGAACCCUGAACCAGCAACGCCGCGUGAAGGAAGAAGGCCUUCGGGUUGUAAACUUCUUUGACAGGGGACGAAGGAUGACGGUACCCUGAAAACAAGCCACGGCUAACUACGUGCCAGCAGCCGCGGUAAUAAU